rnacentral:lncRNA from 1 species
CCGUUCCCCAGGUCGCCCGCCCAUGUGAGUGACUGCUGCCACUUCCAGGUCUUCUUCCUGCUUCCUCCUCUCAACUGCUCCUCCCCGUCUCCACUCCACUAGUCCCCUGCUACUCCCCUAACCCCCUGAGCAACUGCUCGAGUCCCCUCCCAAUCUAGUCCCCAAAUCCAGAUCUCCUUACUCAGAUCGUUUCUCAAAUCAAGCAGUCGCAAGUGAGUAUAAGUGGAUCUGCAGGCUGUAGCUGCAAAUUCGUGAGGGGUGGCGAUUUAGUCUUCAAGUUGCAAGCUGGGAGCAACGAUUCGAAAAGCUACUGUAACAGGUACGUAUGCCACAUGUGGAUUUAAAAUUUGCCAUUCUAUCUUGACAUGUAAAUUGCAGACCACCUUUAAUUCUUUACUAGUAGUUUAGAUUGCGUUCACUGACACUGCGAAACAAGCGAGCUGGAUCUAAGCUGCUGCUAGCGAAGAAAAAAUCCAGGUUCCACCACCGGAUCCCCGUCAAUAGGUACGACCCCAUCUGCUCCUGCCCUGCUUCCAUCUCUCUCGUAUGCUGCCGGCUGGGCCGG